CAAUUUAAACAACGAAGAGUUUGAUCCUGGCUCAGGAUGAACGCUAGCGACAGGCUUAACACAUGCAAGUCGAGGGGCAGCACAGGUAGCAAUACCGGGUGGCGACCGGCGCACGGGUGAG
rnacentral:rRNA from 1 species